UACGUAGGGCGCAAGCGUUGUCCGGAAUUAUUGGGCGUAAAGAGCUCGUAGGCGGCUUGUCACGUCGGGUGUGAAAGCCCGGGGCUUAACCCCGGGUCUGCAUUCGAUACGGGCUAGCUAGAGUGUGGUAGGGGAGAUCGGAAUUCCUGGUGUAGCGGUGGAAUGCGCAGAUAUCAGGAGGAACACCGAUGGCGAAGGCAGGUCUCUGGGCCAUUACUGACACUGAGAAGCGAAAGCAUGGGGAGCGAACAGG
rnacentral:rRNA from 1 species